GCUUAUUCUGUGUGAAUGUUUGAUGCACCUACCUACAACCCUUCGCAUCCUCUCUUCAAUCCCAUCUCGUGCAAUACCUUGGUGGACUAUAAACGAGAUAUAUCUUGAUGUUUUGAUUCGGCAUCUAUUAUGUUAUGAGGCAUUUUGUGUUUGUGUGGCACCAUGAUGUGCGAGCUUUAGAAGAUGAAAGGGGCGACUAGCGGGUGUUAUUAUUGUCAUCGGAUUCACCACUAAUUUACAACCAAUUCUAUUCAUUUUGGAGGAAGAACAAGGUGUUUGAUAAAAUGUUUCACCCAAUCGAUUCUCUUGAGUCUUGACAUUUUGUUGCUAUAUGUUACUACAGAAGCUAUGAGGAGACUGAGAGUUAGUGAGGAAGAGGACGAUGUUGGUAAUGAUGAUUCAAGCAUUUUCCGGAUCGUCCCGGUGAACUGAAUUGCUUAUAUUAUCUCAGGACCGGAAUGUGCGGUUAUGGUGCUACUUGUCGAUUUAAUCAUCCUUCUAAAAUAGAGCUCAAGAGGUGGAAUUCCUGCACGGUCGUUCCCCAAAACAAUAUAGUUGUGUGCUCCUCAUUCAGGAGGUUCGCAGACUUGCGUGCCAAUUAUUUAUCUAUGCACCAGCUCUCCCUUUGGACAUUCUGAUAUGUAGGUCAGAGUAGUAGGUUGGAUGGUUGCAAUGGUACUUUCUCAGAACCAAGACAUUGUUGCACAUUGGCAUUGUCCAUUCCAUAACUUAAGUAUUUGAAGCUACCACAACAAAGAAUUGUAUAUGAAAUACUGAAAUUGUAGAACAUGAUUGCUGGAGCAGUGGAAAUGGAGGGAGGUAUCUUGGUUGUAUCCGCUCCAGAUGAGCCAAUGCCUCAAACAAAGGAACAUAUUCUACUUGCUCGUCAGGUUUCACGCCUUGUCUUUGAUGUUCAGAUUUUUGUAAAAACAAGAUAAUGUUUUAAAUCUUUUAAGUAUCCAAUUUUGGUCGAAUUAUAUAAAUGAAGCUGUAUAUAGAUUAAACUUGAUGCUAUUAUAUGGAAGCCUCAGCAAAUUACGAACCCUGCAUACUUUGAGCUCGAUAAACCUGAUUUUGAGCCUAUUGCUGCUAUUGGCUUUGAAAUUCGAACAAAUUCAAGAUGUUAUAUUGUUUGAUAAUAUAUUGAUAGCAAAUGACGAAAAGGUUGCAGAAUCAUACAGACAGACCGUAUGGAAGCCAAAAUUUGAUGUUGAGAAAGAGAAACAGAAGGCCGAGGAAGAAACAAGCAGUCUUUCAGAUAGUCUGAAAGGUUUUCAGGUAAUUAAUCUAUUUAGUGUUUCGCAUUUCUUCUUUUCUUUAGGUGUAGAUUCUCGUGGCUUAUUCCUUUAGGUGUAAUAUCAUGACCAACUCUACAAGACUGCAGAGUGCAGACAUUCAUGUCUUGCAGAAUCACAAAUUCAAAAUUUUGGUAAGUGCUCGUGCAAAUCUUAUUUUGUACUGCAGUACACUGGGUCGAAAGUACCUGACAUUGUCUGUCACUAACAUAUUGCUACUAAACUUUGUGUUGGAGGAUCUCAUUGAGAAAGCAGAAAGGCAACCAAACAUUACAAUUGGUGUGCUUGUAUCCAUUGUCGUGGUUAUUUUCACUGCUUUGAUAAAACUUCUAUUCGGCCGAGAGAAACCUGAGUUUAUAAACUUUUCUAUAGUAGUUUAGUGCUUCUAUUUAAUUUGGAGAUUUGUCACUACCGGGCAACUUGUACAUGAUUACAGGCAACACCAAAGGUCAGUGUAAAACCGGCGAAGGAAGAAGUAACCGAGGCCUCAAACAAUGGGGAGGAUAGUAGUGAGGAGAAAGAACGAAACGAGGACACAACAGCAGCACCUCGCAGGAGGACCAGGCUUGAAGAUUAGAAUGGAUGAAAAUUUGAUGCCCUCUUGAGGUGGUCUAUAGUUUGGCUUCUGUAAGACUCCUUCUGAUUUUAAUUGUAUUGCUGUUACUAAUUUUUUGCCUUGAUAACGGAUAUGCAGCGAGUUUUUACCCGUUAAAUUUAUAAUGUUAAAUAAUAUAAUGUAAAUGAGAUCUUAUCUAAUAGGAUAUUGUAAUGGUUCCCCUCCGCCAUGAAAUUAUUGUAAAAUUUCUUGUCAAAGGUUGUUUGUUGCUGGCCAACAGGGGUUUAUGCAUAAGUUGAGGGGGGCAUUUGGUGCACAUGGGGGCGGAUUAGUUGAGCAUAAAUUCUGCAGAGGUGUGGGCUCAGGGGGCAUUCAUAUGUGGUGUUUUUAUUCCAAUAUAUGUGGAAUUGUUAUUUCUUAAUGUAGUCUGCAGGUAAGGUAGAGUACAGUAAGAUCAAAGCUUGAUUUGUUUAUUUGGGGAGGGUUUUACAGAAGGGCUUUGGGUCUGCUAAUGUAGUGUUUUUAAAAUGUGCAAAUUUCUGUGUUGCUUCCUAAGAAAUUUGCUUGUAAGGUCUGAUCUCGGAGAUUGUUGUUUGUCUAAGUGGUGAGGUUGUUUUGAGGUUUUAAAUUUCAGAGGCAUUAUUUUCUGGUUACACAGAUUGAUUUGUAAUUUUCCUCGACGUAAUAUUUGUGCUUGUGAGUUGGAAUUGU